GAUUCUUAAGUUACAUGCCUAAGAAAGCUUUCUGUGCUUGAGGUCCUAGAAGUUCUGUGCCACCAACGAGAAUAGACAAUACUGACUUGAUACAUCUCCCAUACAACACCCUUAUUUGGAAGAUGGAAGGGCAAAUAGGAAUUUUCAACAAGAUACCUGCAACAAAGAAUUUAAAACAAAGGGCGAAAAAUGUUAAAUGUUUUAUAAGGAAUUUAUUUGGAAUUGACAAGCAGAGAAAUGUAACAAGAAGGAUACAGUUUGAUCAAAUCACAGACCGUGGCAAAAAUUUCUGAUAGAUGGGAAUCUGUACCUGCCCUUUCACCUAAAGACCUCUGGGCUAAGCUUCCUUGUGAACCUGAAAGUCUGCACAAUCAACAACCAUAUGCAUGGUAAUCUCCCUGAACAAAGGCAAAACAGCAUAUAAUAUUGUUACUGGGACAGGAGUAUCUGCCCUUAACUGUGGUG